GCCGACGUAGCUCAGUCGGUAGAGCAGCGGGCUGUUAACCCGUUGGUCGGAGGUUCGAGUCCUCCCGUCGGCG
rnacentral:tRNA from 1 species